UACGUAGGGGGCUAGCGUUGUCCGGAUUUAUUGGGCGUAAAGAGCGUGUAGGCGGCCAGGUAGGUCUGCUGUGAAAACUCGAGGCUCAACCUCGAGAUGUCGGCGGAAACCAUCUGGCUAGAGUCCGGAAGAGGAAAGUGGAAUUCCUGGUGUAGCGGUGAAAUGCGCAGAUAUCAGGAAGAACACCCGUGGCGAAAGCGGCUCUCUGGGACGGUACUGACGCUGAGACGCGAAAGCGUGGGGAGCGAACAGG
rnacentral:rRNA from 1 species